CUCUUACUAUAAUAGCUUUUUUCUUUUGGGUUCGUUUCUCGCACUGCACAAGCUUUUGUUCAACCACAUGGAUUGUAUCUCUAUACUUUGUUGGGUCAAUUCCAUUCUGGUUGAUAAAGUCGCGUUAAGGACAACCCUCGUUACCACUAGACAACAAUGGCAAGAGAAACAGCAACGGCAACCGAGAAACUGCCAAGCUCGACAAACAUUCAUGCCUCAGACGUAGAAGAGACGAAGAGACCAAACAUUCUAAACAUAGAAGAUAACUAAAAUCCACAUCGAAAAUCACACAUGACAACAAAUAGUAACAACAAGAGAAGAUGAAGUUCAAUAAGAGGACG
rnacentral:lncRNA from 1 species